rnacentral:rRNA from 1 species
GACGAACGCUGGCGGCGUGCCUAAUACAUGCAAGUCGAACGAGAGCGACCGGUGCUUGCACUGGUCAAUCUAGUGGCGAACGGGUGAGUAACACGUGGGUAACCUGCCCAUCAGAGGGGGAUAACAUUCGGAAACGGAUGCUAAAACCGCAUAGGUCUUCGAACCGCAUGGUUUGAAGAGGAAAAGAGGCGCAAGCUUCUGCUGAUGGAUGGACCCGCGGUGCAUUAGCUAGUUGGUGAGGUAACGGCUCACCAAGGCCGUGAUGCAUAGCCGACCUGAGAGGGUGAUCGGCCACAUUGGGACUGAGACACGGCCCAAACUCCUACGGGAGGCAGCAGUAGGGAAUCUUCCGCAAUGGACGCAAGUCUGACGGAGCAACGCCGCGUGAGUGAAGAAGGUUUUCGGAUCGUAAAACUCUGUUGUUAGAGAAGAAUAAGUGCUAGAGUAACUGUUAGCGCCUUGGCGGUAUCUAACCAGAAAGCCACGGCUAACUACGUG